CGUCACACAAGCGGUGGAGUAUGUGGAUUAAUUCGAAGCAACGCGCAGAACCUUACCUGGGUUUGACAUGGUUGGAUGGCUUACUGGAAACAGUGUAGUCUGCCCGCAAGGGUGAAACUUCCACAGGUGCUGCAUGGCUGUCGUCAGCUCGUGUCGUGAGGUGUUGGGUUAAGUCCCGCAACGAGCGCAACCCCUACGUUUAGUUGCUAACGCGUGAAGGCGAGCACUCUAGACGAACUGCCGUUGACAAAACGGAGGAAGGUGGGAUGACGUCAAAUCAUCAUGCCCCUUAUGUUCUGGGCUACACACGUGCUACAAUGGCCGGUACAGACGGACGCAAAGCCGCGAGGUGGAGCAAAUCCGAAAAAGCCGGUCUCAGUUCGGAUUGCAGGCUGCAAUUCGCCUGCAUGAAGUCGGAAUCGCUAGUAAUCGCAGGUCAGCAUACUGCGGUGAAUACGUUCCCGGGCCUU
rnacentral:rRNA from 1 species